AGAGAGUUAGCCUUUGGGGGACGUCGCGAUGGGGUGAGUCUGUUUAUUCCUCCUCAUGCGAUGACAUCGGUAGACCGGUCGUUUUAUCAAUAUAUUCGCCUGUAUUUAACCUCCAAAAUUUAAACACAGAAUAAUCCGCUAAUGUAGUUAUCAUACAGAACUACACAUCCUGUCGCAAGUUUUUACAUAAUCACUCAAGGUGCAGGGUGGGAGAAACCUCCACAUCACUCCAUACAAACUCUCACCGACAAGUAGCAAGUAACCUAGUAAGUAGAUAUAUGAACCUUUUACCGAGGUAAAAUUGGCUUUAUAUUGUAACGAACCUGGGUUUAUAAGCGCUUUUGUGGUACAGUCGCUAUCGCGCUAGACUUCAGCCUAGCUACACGGCACAGUCAUUUAUUUAUACGUCUCUAGUUUAACAGCAAAGAUGCCCCUUCCAAUCAUGUUCUGUUUUGGCUUUGUUGAAGUCCUUUGUCAUCCCCAGACAAGCUGAAUGGUACCAUCUCUGGCACACACUGCAGUAUUAAAAACAUAAAACAGGGUUAUGUUUAUUUACAUGUCAAUUACAGUUCUGGAAUACCCAAAUGAUGUUUCAUGUUUUUGCAAUUAGGAACAUUUACAAAUUGAAUUGGAUUUUUGUUCAUUUGCUAAAUUGUCUUUAAAUGACAUGCAUUUGACCACAACCCUGACAGAAGAACACAUAACUGUGGUGUUACUCAUCAUUGAGUAUUCAGUUAAUAUAACUCAUAUAGAAAUAAAGGCAUACAUUUGCAAAAAAACAUGUGCCCUGAUAAAAGAAAAAGUUUUCACACAUCAAUGUUGUAAUGUCACACAUUUAGCUUAUAACAGUAAACUUUUUUUUGUGGGAUACACAUAAGGGAAUUCUAGGUCUUGUAGCAUAUUUUGGUUAAACUAUCCCCAAUUCAAUGGAAUUGCAACCCUCUGCAUGAACAGUGCAUUCUUCCAUCACAUGUACAGCUGAUUCACAAGAUCUUGAGAUGCUAUUGAGCCCACACUACUACACUGUCUGAGCCAAGGACUACAUGCUUUCUGGUACUGACAGGAGGAGCGAUAUGAGUCUGUCAGAGGUCGUCACGCUGGAUGGAGACGGAGGCUUUGGUUGUCCACACAACGAAGAAACAGGUGUCCCUUCCAGUGAUGUGGAACUGACCUUGGACCUGGUACCAGUAAGGAUGGUCUUAAAAGCAGCGACCAUCCGGUGAGGCGCCCAGGAUCCCAGACCCAGUGACCCAAAGCCCUGACUCCUGCACAUCCAUCCCAGUAGCCAUUUUGAAUGCCUUGAUGCCCUCCUCUUCGUUAUGUGCCCCACUUUACAGACAACACCCCAUCCAACGACUGUGAUCUGAGAACCCUUUUUAGCAGCGACGGAGUAACGUGCUUGACCUUAACCACUGCUCCAUAAUUGCUAGCUGUCAACCCCCCUCUCCUCAUGGCGUGCCAGUUAGGAUUGGUGUGCUGUCCAACUGUUGCCUGCCAUAUAGCCUCCUGUUGCUCCUGCAUGCCCCAGGUGCCCUUGUUUUAACAAUGUCCGGUACUGACAUGGGGGGCAGCAGUUGUUCAGGCUCAAGUUUCUCAGCCACUGAAGAUCCUCCUCUGUGGGCUCUCAGGACAGAGGGUUGUAGUCUUCAGCCGGGUACAGGUCCUCCUCUGUGGGCUCUCAGGACAGAUGGUUGUAGUCUUCAGCCGGGUACAGAUCCUCCUCUGUGGGCUCUCAGGACAGAGGGUUGUAGUCUUCAGCCGGGUACAGGUCCUCCUCUGUGGGCUCUCAGGACAGAGGGUUGUAGACUUCAGCCGGGUACAGAUCCUCCUCUGUGGGCUCUCAGGACAGAGGGUUGUUGUCUUCAGCCGAUCAGAUCCUCCACUGACUGUACCUGAUUGGGCACUGCUCGCUUCCUCCACUCGCAUUCCACAUCCAUACGGCCCUUAUUGUGAACAGCCAAAAUAGGCUGCAGGCUACGCUUAUGAGCUCCAUGGAGACAUUCGCAUGUGGUAGAGAAUCCCCUUAACAUCCUUCCUCUCUAGGUGACAAGUGCCACAAGCUUAUUAAUGCAUGACUUUGAACACCUUGUGCUAUUUAAAUCAAGUUAAGUUAAAGUUAGUAAAGUAAAAUUUUAUUGACAUUACAGCUAUAGAAUAUUUAACUAAUUUUCACAUGAGGACAUGUGAAGUUUUUCCAUAAAAUCACAAGUUAUAAAUUAAAAGUUUAUCAGUUGACAUGUCAAUCAAAUAGUGGGAAGGAUCCUAUAAAUCAAGACUGUAUAACUGGAUGUACCACUCUGAAUAAAUAAAUACUGUGAAUAAAUAAAUACUGUGAAUAAAUGAAUACUGUGAAUGAAUAAAUACUGUGAAUAAAUGAAUACUGUGAAUAAAUAAAUACUGUGAAUAAAUAAAUACCCUGAAUAAAAAAAGACACUGAAUAC